CUUGGAUUAACAUUGGAUUACCUUUUAUUGCACCUGACCUCAGCUCUCUGUCUGAUGAUAACUGUGCCUUCCUAUUUUCUCUCAUCAACCCCUACUUCAGUCUGCAUUUGCAGCCACCUUUUUGCAGGUAACCUCUUUUCUGCUGAUGGAGAACUCCUACGCUAUGAACAUUCCCAGAAAUCACGUUGCUGUUGCAUUUUGGCUGAGGAAUGAGGUGGUGAAGGGCAGUCUCCACAUCAGCAUUUGCUUUUUUCUUUCCCAUAGCUGCCAUGCUUCAUUUCAAGGCAUCCUCAUCCAGAUGGGAUGGAGAUGCAGGUACACAGGCUGGAAGUCAUGACCCCUUCCAACCUGGCCCUGGCUUGGUUGUAUGGAUGACCAUAAUGUGAGCUGUGGAUCUUCAACACUCUGCAGCUAGGACAUAGCCACGUGUCCCAAGUUACAGGUUCACACCUAAUUCAGGCUUUCACAUAGGCAUGUAAGCCUGGGACUUUCAAAGACUGAUUUCAAAGACUGAUCGCUUCCUCCCAUUUUAGACUGUCUUAGCAGGGUCCUGCUCAGCACCCUCAAUAUUGUGGGCCCCAUUCUGAGCUGCCAGCUGGCCUUUUUGAGCACAGUGCCAUAGAUGUUCAGCCCAUGUAAGGCUAAGGGCCUUCUAGCUGCAGAUAGGGAGCCUGCCUGUCACUUGCAACUUCACACCCUUUCUCCCAAGCUACUGCUUGAGUUUUUCCAGCUUCUGGGGCAAUAAUUUUCCCCUGCUGUUCUUACACUGCUGUUCUCUUGCUGUUAAUCUCAUGGCCUUGAACUCACAAACCUUAAUACUGUUGUUAUGGUAAGUUCUCAUGGGAAACAAUUGCCACUGGAGUAAGAUUCAUUCCUUCCUCCCAGCCCCUUUCCCUUGCGGGUAGCUUUCUAUUAGGGGAUCCAAAAAUGCACAUACACAAAUCUCAACUACCACUCAGCAUGCAUCACCCACUCUGAACAAAGCAUGGUCCCAACAGUACGGUAAGCUGGAAUCUCUCAAGCACAAAUCUCUUCCAUAGAGAAUGUGAGCAAUUUCUGAUGAAAACUGUUCCAUAAUUAUUGAAAGUUAUAGUGGGAGGACCCUGCUACACUGGAGAGGACACAUAAAUGGACAUCCCAUUGUGUGCCUUCCCAACUGACCACUCAGAGAAUUUUCCCUUUCCCUUCUCUCCCUGCUUCAAUGCUCAUGCCUUGCUGUCUCUGAUAGGCCAAUAGCAGCAAAUGCUGCUUGAUAAGAUGAUUGCAAACAUGGCACACUAAGUCACGAUGUGGUUAUGACUAGAGCUGAGAAAACUCUAACAUCUUAGCAGUGUUUU
rnacentral:lncRNA from 1 species